ensembl:rRNA 5S_rRNA 5S ribosomal RNA
GUCUACAGCCAUACUACCCUGAAUGUGCCUGAUCUCCUCUGAUCUCGGAAGCUAAGCAGGGUUGUGCCUGGUUAGUACUUGGAUGGAAGAACAUUUGUGAUUGACAACAAGAGAUCAAAAUA